CACAAGUACAAUCAAUCGUAUGAUGGAUAACAAAAAAUGGGAAAAAAAUAAGCCUUUCAAAGCGUUCUCCAUAUCAUGGUGUUUAGAUCGCAAGAAUCACAACUAUUAUACCUCCUUAGAGAAGACAAUUAUUUUUCGCGUUUAUCUACAUGUAAACUACGAUUAUACUACUUUAAUAUAUAGAGACUCUCUGUAUUCUGUCAGGGACUUUCUAUGUUAGUAUGUUAGUAUAGAAAGUCGGCCCUGA
rnacentral:lncRNA from 1 species